AACGCGAAGAACCUUACCUGGGCUCGAAUGUAGACGGCGAUAACAGAGAUGUUAUUUCCGAAGGACGUCUAUAUAGGUGCUGCAUGGCUGUCGUCAGCUCGUGCCGUGAGGUGUUGGGUUAAGUCCCGCAACGAGCGCAACCCUUAUCAUUAGUUGCCAACACGUAAGGUGGGGACUCUAAUGAGACUGCCUAGGUUAACUAGGAGGAAGGCGAGGAUGACGUCAAGUCCGCAUGGCCUUUAUGUCCAGGGCUACACACGUGCUACAAUGGUCGGUACAGAGGGUAGCAAAUCCGCAAGGUAGAGCAAAUCCCAGAAAGCCGAUCUCAGUUCAGAUUGUGGUCUGCAACUCGACCACAUGAAGCUGGAAUUGCUAGUAAUGGCGCGUCAGCAACAGCGCCGUGAAUACGUUCCCGGGCCUUGUACACACCGCUAGUC
rnacentral:rRNA from 1 species